rnacentral:lncRNA from 1 species
GAACUGAACUAAUCUUGGACAGCACCUCCACUUGAUCAUCAAAGAAUAUGAAAAGAGUGGACAGAUUGACUUGGGCAGAGCUUCCGCAUAACAAUUGCAGAAAUUCUUCGAUUGGACAGAACUUCGCUUCUUGGUGAAGUAUCGAUCUUCGGAACUCAGCUACACUCUCUUUCUCUCUCUCUCUAACCACGUUGACUUGCUUCCCAUCUGAAUUGAUAUUCAAUUGGUUGAUCUUCAGUUGGCCAGAACCUUCCCUAGGCGCUGAC